UGAAACCGUUUAGGGGUAAACCUGAGAAACCCGAAAGGUCGAAGGGAGAAAUUCAUUCGCGUUUCGCGUUAGGCUUCGGACGAUCUGUUGACGGGACGCCGAUUUAGGCGUCCCGCUCGUUUCGCUCGACGAUCCUGACGCGAACGCGUGCACUUUUCUCCUGGUAGGACGUCGCGAUCCGUUGGGUGUCGGUCUAAGGUUUCGGGUGGAGCCCGUCGUUUGAUUCGUCAUUCGGCGGACCUCGGAUACCCGACCGACUCGCUCGACGGUAGAAGAAAGGUUCGAGGCCGCUCUCGGAGCGUCCGAGUCACGGCAAGCCCGUCAGUCGCGUUGGAAAUCGGACCCGGUGCCGAUUCCGGCCGCUGGCGACUGUUGGCCGCGGAUUUCUCGGACAGACCUCGUGACCGAUCGGCGACGCUAUAGCUUUGGGUAAUUUCAGGACCCGUCUUGAAACACGGACCAAGGAGUCUAGCAUGUGCGCGAGUCAUUGGGAAUCACUAAACCUAAAGGCGCAAUGAAAGUAAAGAUCUUCCUCGCGAGGAUCGAGGGAAGACGGGCCGACCGGCCUUAAAACCGGCGGUUCUGCAUUCCCGGGGCGUCUCGUUCUCAUCGCGAGAAGAGGCGCACCAAGAGCGUACACGCUGGGACCCGAAAGAUGGUGAACUAUGCCUGGUCAGGACGAA
rnacentral:rRNA from 1 species